GGCUGCCUGCCUGCCGCAGCUGGGCCUGGGAACCCCAGGGGACAGGGAGGGAUGUGCUGGCAUCUGGUCUCUGCCAAGUGAGUCUGCCGCCCAGAAUGUACUAUCAGCUUGGUCACAGGGCUAGAACAAGCAGGGACCCUGGGGUGCAUGUGUGCCCACGUGGGAAACUGCAGAGGUAGGGGAAUAUGAGCCAGAUAACCCAAAGCUGUCUAUUUUAGCCUUGGUGAUGUGGCUUGUCAGUGGCAAACAGCCACUUAGAAUCAAUGUCUUUCCCAAACGAGGUCCCUCAAUAUUGUAUGCUUAAUAUGCUCUGUCUAUCUGUGCGUUUACUCAGAGAGCUGCCUCCCCAGGGCACAGCAACCAGUAUGCUACCUCAGCAUGGAAUAAUUCCCCUGGGAGGCUGCCUCCUUUCCCUCCUUCCUGCAGGGCCUCUAGGACUGAGCCCCGAGGGGCUGGGAUGACUGGCUGCCAGUUUGACGGGUGUAUGUGGCGGUACCUUGAAUCACUGCUGCUGUUACUUCUCUUUUUGUCACUGAAUGCAGUAUCUGUUGCAGCAUUUGCACAGCACCAGCCAGUUUGUCAAGAUGGAGACCCAAAAUGGAGACCCUAUAGGGUGACAACUGUUCCCUUGAACACAGCUGGGAAUGCAUGCUGCUUGAAGUUUUGGGAAUGGAGGCUGCAAGGCUGGCUUCCUGGCAGAGAUUGUCACAUGGGUAGUGUGCUACCUUCAGGACGUGGAACCAGGCUAGGCCCACUGGAGGCUUCUGCGGGUGACUGAGCCGUCUUUUACCUACAACGACUCCAGCUGUCUCCCAUUCUUGCCCUUUCAACCAGAGGAUCCAGAGCCAAGAAAGUGAUGAGAAGGCGAUGAGAAACUGAAAGUUGCCUGCCUGUGAGGUUGUAAUAAGGGUUCUCAAAGACGUACAGCUAGAAAAAUCUAUUUCUAAGUCCCACUGAAUAUAAGCUGUGCUAGUCACUUUUUCAUUGCCAUGACAAAUAUCUACGAGAAACUUUGUAAACAUAGGAGAGCUUUGCUUUGGCUCACAGAGUCAGAGAUUUCAACCCUUGUCCGGCCUGUUCUACUGCUGUCUGUGGUCCUGUGGUAACACAGAGCAAUAUGGUGGCAAGAACAUA